UGUAUACUCUCUUCAUCUCAAAAUUUUUGUCUUAAAUUUGUCUAGAAAUGAAAGUAUCUAAAUGGUAAAACGUGACUAGAUGUAUUCAUAUCUAGACAAAUCUAAGAGAAGAAUUUUGGGACGAAGGAGUAUAUU
rfam:Hordeum vulgare subsp. vulgare, WGS project CAJW01000000 data, contig: morex_contig_161462